ACGGGGUGCAGCAGGCGCGAAACCUCCGCAAUGUGAGAAAUCGCGACGGGGGGAUCCCAAGUGCCAUUCUUAACGGGAUGGCUUUUCAUUAGUGUAAAGAGCUUUUGGAAUAAGAGCUGGGCAAGACCGGUGCCAGCCGCCGCGGUAAUUC
rnacentral:rRNA from 1 species